UCAUCUUCUCUCUUUUUCUUCCACUUGCAGCUGCGGUUCAAGCCUAGCUGGUUGGCUGCUCCCGACAGCAACUGUAAAUUCCAACGGAGCUAGUACUCGCGGCUAAGCCCUCUUGCUGGGUGUUGGCUCCACCACUGUUUGUGAGUAUUUAGAUGUCAAACUCAUACAUAAAGAAAUCUACAAAUUACAUCAAGAACCAUGCUCAUACAUAAAUCCAUUUGAAUGAAUUGAUUUUUAGAGUUUGUUAAUGAAACCUUAAACAAUUAGAUGAAGGCCUCAUUGUUGCCUCUGCUCAAUGAAUACCCCAAGCGGUGGCUAAGGAAAAAUCAAGACAUAUAUUCAAGAUAGAAUCGAAGAUUCCCAAUCAGCCUUUGUCACUCACAGAUGGAAGCUCGAAGUCAAAGAAAAAAAGACAAAGUGUCUACAAAUCGGGAGGGUAAGAUCUGAUUUCUAUGGAAGAUGGAAAAAUAUGGUAGAAUUUUAUAUUUGAGUAUAGAACCAAUUAGAUGAAAAAAUAUAAUUUAAGAAUACAAAAUACUAUGUGGAGGAAAUCGAAACCAUGAUCAUGUGAUUAAAAGCCACGAGCUCUACCGACCGUGCUAAGAGGUUAUGAUCAACAUAAAGGAUUAUGAACCAUGAAAUUUACCCAAAAUUUAAAAUUCUAAUUUGUAAAUCAAUUUUAAUUUCUAUUUCUAACUUGUCCACCUUACCCCAUUUCUUCUUCAAAUUUAACCCACCACCCAUAUUUCUCUCUUAGAACGUUGUCCUUCUUUCACUCGUUCAAAAAUAGUAGCUCCAACAACUUUCGACGAUCAUUGUCUAAAUAUCAAAAAUCUUGAACUCAAAAUCCAAAAUCUUCAACAGCUAAACAAUAUGUUCCUUCAGCACUCAUCAAAGGAAUCAUCUCCUUUGAUUAGUGGAAUCCCUUUUACGAUCUAGGUGCAUAUUAAAAAAUUGGUGCUUUAUUAUCAAGAGCAAUCAUUUUAUCAAAAUGCAUUUGCUCCAAUCACAUUCUCAUUUAUGGAAACAUGGAAAUGAGAUUUCAUUAUUUAGAUUUGGAUUCACUUCACGAAGCCUAUGUCAUUCAAUUUGUGGUUUGUUCCGUUGUAAUGUGGAA
rnacentral:lncRNA from 1 species